rnacentral:RNase_MRP_RNA from 1 species
CCCUCGCCCAACAAAUCGCUAUUCGAAGCUCACAACGGAGAGAGCAUUGCUCUUUCGCACACCAAAAGCUUUGGGAGAAAGUCCCCGGACACCCACCUUCUCUGGAGGUGGUCGCGGAAACGCGCCGCCAUAGAAGCACAGCGGCUGAUCUCGGCCGCCAGCUUCCUGCCUAUCAGUUCCGCCCGGCUCAUUACUUCAAAGUCGGCCGCCUGCUUUGCUGCCGGUUAUCGGCUAUCCGUUUCCGGGUCAGAGACCACAUGGAUGAAGAUAUGAGUCCGCGCUCUGGCUGUCUGGGGCGAAUAUGCCGUACCGGUGGUGGGUAAUUGGUCGAUGGUGGGCUGCCGCUGGUUCGGUCUGGACAGGGAGCGUCACGGCUGGCUCGAGAGAUUUCGUCAUGAUGUCACAGAAAUGCGAUUGCUCGUCCUCUGAAAGGAGGAUCGAGUUACUCGACGGGGCUCAUUCUUGGUGCGAGG